UACGUAGGGUGCGAGCGUUAAUCGGAAUUACUGGGCGUAAAGCGUGCGCAGGCGGUUUUGUAAGUCUGUCGUGAAAUCCCCGGGCUCAACCUGGGAAUUGCGAUGGAGACUGCAAGGCUAGAAUCUGGCAGAGGGGGGUAGAAUUCCACGUGUAGCAGUGAAAUGCGUAGAGAUGUGGAGGAACACCGAUGGCGAAGGCAGCCCCCUGGGUCAAGAUUGACGCUCAUGCACGAAAGGCGUGGGGAGCAAACAGGAUUAGAGUACCCGG
rnacentral:rRNA from 1 species